AGAAAAUUAGCCCUGCGACACCAUCCAGACAAGAAUCCAGAUGACCCAUCUGCUGCUGAGAAGUUUAAAGAAAUCAACAACGCCCACACAAUCCUCACCGACACCUCAAAGAGAAACAUAUAUGACAAGUAUGGAUCGCUGGGACUCUACGUGGCUGAACAAUUUGGAGAUGAAAACGUUAACACAUACUUCAUGUUGUCAAGCUGGUGGGCAAAG
rnacentral:lncRNA from 1 species